CAGCAGCCGCGGUAAUACGUAGGUGGCAAGCGUUGUCCGGAAUUAUUGGGCGUAAAGCGCGCGCAGGCGGUCUCUUAAGUCUGAUGUGAAAGCCCCCGGCUCAACCGGGGAGGGUCAUUGGAAACUGGGAGACUUGAGUGCAGAAGAGAAGAGUGGAAUUCCACGUGUAGCGGUGAAAUGCGUAGAGAUGUGGAGGAACACCAGUGGCGAAGGCGACUCUUUGGUCUGUAACUGACGCUGAGGCGCGAAAGCGUGGGGAGCAAACAGGAUUAGAUACCCUGUUAGUCCACGCCGUAAACGAUGAGUGCUAAGUGUUAGAGGGUUUCCGCCCUUUAGUGCUGCAGCUAACGCAUUAAGCACUCCGCCUGGGGAGUACGGCCGCAAGGCUGAAACUUAAAGGAAUUGGCGGG
rnacentral:rRNA from 1 species